rnacentral:rRNA from 1 species
UACGUAGGUGGCGAGCGUUGUCCGGAUUUACUGGGCGUAAAGAGCGCGCAGGCGGCUGGUCAAGUCCGAUGUGAAAGCUCCCGGCUUAACUGGGAAAUUGCAUCGGAAACUGAUCGGCUGGAAGGUGGGAGAGGGUAGCGGAAUUCCCGGUGUAGUGGUGAAAUGCGUAGAUAUCAGGAGGAACACCGGUGGCGAAGGCGGGUCUCUGGGCAGUAACUGACGCUGAGGAGCGAAAGCGUGGGGAGCGAACAGG